rnacentral:Y_RNA from 1 species
GGUUGAUCUGAGUGCAGUGGUGUUUACAACUAACUCAUCACGACCAGUUACAGAGAUUUUUUUUGUCCUGUCUCUACACCUACUUCUUCAUUUAACUAGAAUGUA